rnacentral:rRNA from 1 species
AACGAACGCUGGCGGCAUGCCUAACACAUGCAAGUCGAACGAGACCUUCGGGUCUUGUGGCGCACGGGUGCAUCACGCGUGGGAACCUUCACUUAGGGUCGGAAUAACUCCCCGAAAGGGGUGCUAAUACCGGAUAAUGUCUUCGGACCAAAGAUUUAUCGCCUUUGGAUGGUCCCGCGUUGGAUUAGCUAGUUGGUAGGGUAAAAGCCUACCAAGGCGACGAUCCAUAGCUGGUUUGAGAGGAUGAUCAGCCACACUGGGACUGAGACGCGGCCCAGACUCCUACGGGAGGCAGCAGUGGGGAAUAUUGGACAAUGGGCGAAAGCCUGAUCCAGCAAUGCCGCGUGAGUGAUGAAGGCCUUAGGGUUGUAAAGCUCUUUUACCCGGGAUGAUAAUGACAGUACCGGGAGAAUAAGCUCCGGCUAACUCCGUG